GCUCACAGAGUGUGGUGGCACAUGCCAGUAGUCCUAGUUACUAGGGAGGCUGAGACAGGAGGAUUGCUUGAGUUCAGGAGUUCUGGGCUGUAGUGCCCCUAUGCCGAUUGGGUAUUCAAACUAAUGCAUCAAUAUGGUGACCUCCCAGGAUGGGGGGGGCACCAGGUUGCCUAAAGAGGAGUGAACUGGCCCAGGUCGGAUACAGGGCAGGUCAAAACUCCCGUGCUGAUCAAGACCCUGUCUCAAAAAGUUAAAUAUUGGGGGAAGGGGCACACAACAGGACACACACUCAAAAUGAUGCCUUUCUCA
ensembl:misc_RNA Metazoa_SRP Metazoan signal recognition particle RNA